CUCGGACAGAGUGUGCUGGCCGUCUCGGAGACCUGCCCCUGCCCUGCCUGCCACUCUGGCUGUGGAAAAUUUUGCUUCCCCUUUGGAAGAGUUAUGGCUGGACAAAGAAGUGUAUCCUGGAGAGAGAAAGGGAGACCCCUCAGUUAUACCCCGGUUUGCGGAGGAACAUAUAGAAUACUUUAAGGACAUCUAGGAAGACUUAUUUUUAGAAAUUGCUUGGUGCUAAUGGUGUACAAGGAUUUCUACUACAUGAC